rnacentral:rRNA from 1 species
ACAUCCAGAGAACUUAGCAGAGAUGCUUUGGUGCCUUCGGGAACUCUGAGACAGGUGCUACAUGGCUGUCGUCAGCUCGUGUUGUGAAAUGUUGGGUUAAGUCCCGCAACGAGCGCAACCCUUAUCCUUUGUUGCCAGCGGCUCGGCCGGGAACUCAAAGGAGACUGCCGGUGAUAAACCGGAGGAAGGUGGGGAUGACGUCAAGUCAUCAUGGCCCUUACGGCCAGGGCUACACACGUGCUACAAUGGCGCAUACAAAGAGAAGCGACCUCGCGAGAGCAAGCGGACCUCAUAAAGUGCGUCGUAGUCCGGAUUGGAGUCUGCAACUCGACUCCAUGAAGUCGGAAUCGCUAGUAAUCGUAGAUCAGAAUGCUACGGUGAAUACGUUCCCGGGCCUUGUACACACCGCCCGUCACACCAUGGGAGUGGGUUGCAAAAGAAGUAGGUAGCUUAACCUUCGGGAGGGCGCUUACCACUUUGUGAUUCAUGACUGGGGUGAAGUCGUAACAAGGUAAGCGUAGCGAG